rnacentral:rRNA from 1 species
UACAGAGGGGGCAAGCGUUGUUCGGAAUUACUGGGCGUAAAGGGCGCGUAGGCGGCCUUCUAAGUCGAACGUGAAAUCCCCGGGCUCAACCCGGGAACUGCGUCCGAUACUGGAAGGCUUGAAUCCGGGAGAGGGAUGUGGAAUUCCAGGUGUAGCGGUGAAAUGCGUAGAUAUCUGGAGGAACACCGGUGGCGAAGGCGAAUCUCUGGACAGUUACUGACACUGAGGCACGAAGGCCAGGGGAGCGAACGGG